rnacentral:rRNA from 1 species
AUUGAACGCUGGCGGCAGGCCUAACACAUGCAAGUCGAGCGGAGCGGCGGACGGGUGAGUAAUGCCUAGUAAUCUGCCUGGUAGUGGGGGAUAACGUCCGGAAACGGGCGCUAAUACCGCAUCCUAUCAGAUGAGCCUAGGUCGGAUUUGCUAGUUGGUGGGGUAAAGGCCUACCAAGGCGACGAUACCUAGCUGGUCUGAGAGGAUGACCAGCCACACAGGAACUGAGACACGGGCCAGACUACUGCGGGAAGCAGAAGUGGUGAAUAUUGCACAAUGGGCGCAAGCCUGAUGAAGCCAUGCCGCGUGUAUGAAGAGGGCCUUCGGGUUGUAAAGUACUUUCAGCGGGGAGGCGUUACCCGCAGAAGAAGCACCGGCUAACGCCGUGCCAGCAGCCGCGGUAAUUC